rnacentral:RNase_P_RNA from 1 species
GAAGCUGACCAGACAGUCGCCGCUUCGUCGUCGUCCUCCUUCGGGGGGAGACGGGCGGAGGGGAGGAAAGUCCGGGCUCCAUAGGGCAAGGUGCCAGGUAACGCCUGGGGGGUGUCACAGCCCACGACCAGUGCAACAGAGAGCCGUACUGAACCCGGGUAGGCUGCUUGAGCCAGUGAGCGAUUGCUGGCCUAGAUGAAUGACUGUCCACGACAGAACCCGGCUUAUCGGUCAGUUUCACCU